UCGGUAUGUACUGGCUUUACUGAUUCCUCCUUCUUGACGAACCGUGAUGUCAUUAAUUUGGUGUUGCGGGAAAUCAGGACUGUUACUUUGAAAAAAUUAGUGUGUUUAAAGCAGGCUAACGCUUGAAUACAUUAGCAUGGAAUAAUGAAAUAGGACGUUAAUCCUAUUUUGUUGGUUUCUAGGAUCGACGUAAUGAUUAAUAGGGAUAGUUGGGGGCAUUAGUAUUCAAUUGUCAGAGGUGAAAUUCUUGGAUUUAUUGAAGACUAACUACUGCGAAAGCAUUUGCCAAGGAUGUUUUCAUUAAUCAAGAACGAAAGUUAGGGGAUCGAAACGAUCAGAUACCGUCGUAGUCUUAACCAUAAACUAUGCGGA
rnacentral:rRNA from 1 species